rnacentral:rRNA from 1 species
UACGUAGGGUCCGAGCGUUGUCCGGAAUUACUGGGCGUAAAGAGCUCGUAGGUGGUUUGUCGCGUUGUCCGUGAAAACUCACAGCUCAACUGUGGGCGUGCGGGCGAUACGGGCAGACUGGAGUACUGCAGGGGAGACUGGAAUUCCUGGUGUAGCGGUGGAAUGCGCAGAUAUCAGGAGGAACACCGGUGGCGAAGGCGGGUCUCUGGACAGUUCCUGACGCUGAGGCACGAAGGUCAGGGGAGCAAACGGG